rnacentral:rRNA from 1 species
CAAUCGAACCCGGAGAUAGCUGGUUCUCCCCGAAAUAGCUUUAGGGCUAGCGUCGGAAAGAACCUUAGUGAAGGUAGAGCACUGAAUGUGUGAUGGCCCCAUCCCGGGGUACUGAAUACAAUCAAACUGCGAAUGUCAUUAAGGAUGUCCGGCAGUCAGACUGUGAGUGAUAAGGUCCAUGGUCAAGAGGGAAACAGCCCAGACCGCCAGUUAAGGUCCCAAAAUACAGGCUAAGUGGAAAAGGAUGUGGGGAUGCCCAGACAACUAGGAGGUUGGCUCAGAAGCAGCCAUCCUUUAAAGAGUGCGUAACAGCUCACUAGUCGAGUGACCCUGCGCCGAAAAUGUACCGGGGCUAAGCCUGAUACCGAAACUGCGGAUUGUAGGAAACUAUAGUGGUAGGGGAGCGUUGUAUACGAGUAGAAGCCGUACCGUGAGGAGCGGUGGAUUGUAUAGAAGUGAGAAUGCCGGUGUGAGUAGCGAGAUGUAGGUGAGAAUCCUACACACCGAAAGCCCAAGGAUUCCAGGGGAAGGUUCGUCCGCCCUGGGUAAGUCGGGACCUAAGACGAGGCAGAAAUGCGUAGCCGAUGGACAACUGGUUUAUAUUCCAGUACCCGCGAUACAACUGAAGGAGUGACGGAAAAGGUUACCUCGAGCCCUUAAUGGAUUGGGCAGGACAGAGAGGAGCAGGCAGCAGGCAAAUCCGCUGCAGGAUGCAGAGCUCUGGACCGAAUGAACGAGCGAUCAAGUAGUGAAGAGAGAGAUACCAGUUCCCGAGAAAAGCUUCUAAGGCUAAUUGUAUAGCGGCCCGUACCAAAACCGACACAGGUGGUCAAGGCGAGUAGCCUGAGGUGAGCGAGAGAACUGUUGCCAAGGAACUCGGCAAACUGACCCCGUACGUUAGCAAUAAGGGGUGCUCGAAAGAGCCGCAGUGAAUAGGCCCUAGCAACUGUUUAACUAAAACAUAGCUCUCUGCGAAGUCGCAAGACGAAGUAUAGGGGGUGACACCUGCCCGGUGCUGGAAGGUCAAGGGGAUUUGUCAGCGCAAGCGAAGCAUUGAACCGAAGCCCCAGUGAACGGCGGCCGUAACUAUAACGGUCCUAAGGUAGCGAAAUUCCUUGUCAGGUAAGUUCUGACCCGCACGAAAGGUGUAAUGAUUUGGGCACUGUCUCGGCAGCAGACUCGGUGAAAUCUUAGUACCUGUGAAGAUGCAGGUUACCCGCAACUAGACGGAAAGACCCCAUGGAGCUUUACUGCAGUCUGCUAUUGAGUUUCGGUUGGAUAUGCACAGGAUAGGUGGGAGACGAUGAGACGUGGAUUUCGGUCUACGAGGAGUCACUGUUGGGAUACCACUCUUAUUCAACUGGAAUUCUAACUGAUAUCCGUGAUCCGGAUACAGGACCGUGGCAGAUGGGCAGUUUGACUGGGGCGGUCGCCUCCCAAAGAGUAACGGAGGCGCACAAAGGUACUCUCAGAAUGGUUGGAAAUCAUUCAACGAGCGCAAACGCAGAAGAGUGCUUGACUGCGAGACAUACAGGUCGAGCAGGGACGAAAGUCGGUGUUAGUGAUCCGGCGGUGCAGAAUGGAAUGGCCGUCGCUUAACGGAUAAAAGCUACCCUGGGGAUAACAGGCUGAUCUCGCCCAAGAGUUCACAUCGACGGCGAGGUUUGGCACCUCGAUGUCGGCUCAUCGCAUCCUGGAGGUGAAUUCGCUUCCAAGGGUUGGGCUGUCCGCCCAUUAAAGCGGUACGCGAGCUGGGUUCAGAACGUCGUGAGACAGUUCGGUCCCUAUCUGUUGUGGGCGUUGGAAAUUUGAGGAGAGCUGCCCCUAGUACGAGAGGACCAGGGUGGACGUUCCUACGGUGCACCAGUUGUCACGCCAGUGGCACAGCUGGAUAGCUGAGAACGGACCGGAUAAACGCUGAAGGCAUCUAAGCGUGAAACCGACUCCAAGAUUAGAUUUCCCAUUGUUUCAAACAAAUAAGACCCCUUGAAGACGACGAGGUUGAUAGGUCAGGGAUGUAAGUACAGUGAUGUAUUGAGUUGACUGAUACUAAUAGGUCGAAGGUUUAUUCAC